rnacentral:tRNA from 1 species
GGCUCGGUAGCUAAGUUGGUAAUGCACUUGUCUAGCGAAUAAGGGUCGUGAGUUCAAAUCUCACCUGAGCUG